rnacentral:rRNA from 1 species
UUAAGUUAUUAAGGGCGCACGGUGGAUGCCUUGGCACUAGAAGCCGAUGAAGGACGUUACUAACGACGAUAUGCUUUGGGGAGCUGUAAGUAAGCUUUGAUCCAGAGAUUUCCGAAUGGGGAAACCCAGCAUGAGUUAUGUCAUGUUAUCGAUAUGUGAAUACAUAGCAUAUCAGAAGGCACACCCGGAGAACUGAAACAUCUUAGUACCCGGAGGAAGAGAAAGAAAAUUCGAUUCCCUUAGUAGCGGCGAGCGAAACGGGAAGAGCCCAAACCAACAAGCUUGCUUGUUGGGGUUGUAGGACACUCUAUACGGAGUUACAAAGGACGACAUUAGACGAAUCAUCUGGAAAGAUGAAUCAAAGAAGGUAAUAAUCCUGUAGUCGAAAAUGUUGUCUCUCUUGAGUGGAUCCUGAGUACGACGGAGCACGUGAAAUUCCGUCGGAAUCUGGGAGGACCAUCUCCUAAGGCUAAAUACUCUCUAGUGACCGAUAGUGAACCAGUACCGUGAGGGAAAGGUGAAAAGCACCCCGGAAGGGGAGUGAAAUAGAACCUGAAACCGUGUGCUUACAAGUAGUCAGAGCCCGUUAAUGGGUGAUGGCGUGCCUUUUGUAGAAUGAACCGGCGAGUUACGAUUUGAUGCAAGGUUAAGCAGUAAAUGUGGAGCCGUAGCGAAAGCGAGUCUGAAUAGGGCGUUUAGUAUUUGGUCGUAGACCCGAAACCAGGUGAUCUACCCUUGGUCAGGUUGAAGUUCAGGUAACACUGAAUGGAGGACCGAACCGACUUACGUUGAAAAGUGAGCGGAUGAACUGAGGGUAGCGGAGAAAUUCCAAUCGAACCUGGAGAUAGCUGGUUCUCUCCGAAAUAGCUUUAGGGCUAGCCUCAAGUGAUGAUUAUUGGAGGUAGAGCACUGUUUGGACGAGGGGCCCCUCUCGGGUUACCGAAUUCAGACAAACUCCGAAUGCCAAUUAAUUUAACUUGGGAGUCAGAACAUGGGUGAUAAGGUCCGUGUUCGAAAGGGAAACAGCCCAGACCACCAGCUAAGGUCCCAAAAUAUAUGUUAAGUGGAAAAGGAUGUGGCGUUGCCCAGACAACUAGGAUGUUGGCUUAGAAGCAGCCAUCAUUUAAAGAGUGCGUAAUAGCUCACUAGUCGAGUGACACUGCGCCGAAAAUGUACCGGGGCUAAACAUAUUACCGAAGCUGUGGAUUGUCCUUUGGACAAUGGUAGGAGAGCGUUCUAAGGGCGUUGAAGCAUGAUCGUAAGGACAUGUGGAGCGCUUAGAAGUGAGAAUGCCGGUGUGAGUAGCGAAAGACGGGUGAGAAUCCCGUCCACCGAUUGACUAAGGUUUCCAGAGGAAGGCUCGUCCGCUCUGGGUUAGUCGGGUCCUAAGCUGAGGCCGACAGGCGUAGGCGAUGGAUAACAGGUUGAUAUUCCUGUACCACCUAUAAUCGUUUUAAUCGAUGGGGGGACGCAGUAGGAUAGGCGAAGCGUGCGAUUGGAUUGCACGUCUAAGCAGUAAGGCUGAGUAUUAGGCAAAUCCGGUACUCGUUAAGGCUGAGCUGUGAUGGGGAGAAGACAUUGUGUCUUCGAGUCGUUGAUUUCACACUGCCGAGAAAAGCCUCUAGAUAGAAAAUAGGUGCCCGUACCGCAAACCGACACAGGUAGUCAAGAUGAGAAUUCUAAGGUGAGCGAGCGAACUCUCGUUAAGGAACUCGGCAAAAUGACCCCGUAACUUCGGGAGAAGGGGUGCUCUUUAGGGUUAACGCCCAGAAGAGCCGCAGUGAAUAGGCCCAAGCGACUGUUUAUCAAAAACACAGGUCUCUGCUAAACCGUAAGGUGAUGUAUAGGGGCUGACGCCUGCCCGGUGCUGGAAGGUUAAGAGGAGUGGUUAGCUUCUGCGAAGCUACGAAUCGAAGCCCCAGUAAACGGCGGCCGUAACUAUAACGGUCCUAAGGUAGCGAAAUUCCUUGUCGGGUAAGUUCCGACCCGCACGAAAGGCGUAACGAUUUGGGCACUGUCUCAACGAGAGACUCGGUGAAAUCAUAGUACCUGUGAAGAUGCAGGUUACCCGCGACAGGACGGAAAGACCCCGUGGAGCUUUACUGUAGCCUGAUAUUGAAAUUCGGCACAGCUUGUACAGGAUAGGUAGGAGCCUUUGAAACGUGAGCGCUAGCUUACGUGGAGGCGCUGGUGGGAUACUACCCUAGCUGUGUUGGCUUUCUAACCCGCACCACUUAUCGUGGUGGGAGACAGUGUCAGGCGGGCAGUUUGACUGGGGCGGUCGCCUCCUAAAAGGUAACGGAGGCGCUCAAAGGUUCUCUCAGAAUGGUUGGAAAUCAUUCAUAGAGUGUAAAGGCAUAAGGGAGCUUGACUGCGAGACCUACAAGUCGAGCAGGGUCGAAAGACGGACUUAGUGAUCCGGUGGUUCCGCAUGGAAGGGCCAUCGCUCAACGGAUAAAAGCUACCCCGGGGAUAACAGGCUUAUCUCCCCCAAGAGUUCACAUCGACGGGGAGGUUUGGCACCUCGAUGUCGGCUCAUCGCAUCCUGGGGCUGUAGUCGGUCCCAAGGGUUGGGCUGUUCGCCCAUUAAAGCGGUACGCGAGCUGGGUUCAGAACGUCGUGAGACAGUUCGGUCCCUAUCCGUCGUGGGCGUAGGAAAUUUGAGAGGAGCUGUCCUUAGUACGAGAGGACCGGGAUGGACAUACCUCUGGUGUACCAGUUGUCGUGCCAACGGCAUAGCUGGGUAGCUAUGUGUGGACGGGAUAAGUGCUGAAAGCAUCUAAGCAUGAAGCCCCCCUCAAGAUGAGAUUUCCCAACUUCGGUUAUAAGAUCCCUCAAAGAUGAUGAGGUUAAUAGGUUCGAGGUGGAAGCAUGGUGACAUGUGGAGCUGACGAAUACUAAUCGAUCGAAGACUUAAUCAA